GGGGGGGGGGGGCGCGCGGCCGCCCUCGCCGGCCCCCCCACCUGAGCCACGUGGAUUUAUCCGACUCUGCUCGUGCAAAACCCCAUUGUUCGUGAUCUGCCCUGCCAUUCGAUGGAAAGAAUUCAAGAUGCAGAACUUGUUUCUUUCCUGAGUGCCCAGCCAAGCCACUGUGACCGAGGAACAGGUACGGAGCUUGUCGAAGGCUUUGAUUCGAGUAUCAUCAGCCUGACGAGAUACUUGGCUUUCGGUUUUCCCCUGAUCUGAAACUGGCGGACGCUUUCGACAUUCUGGGACAGGAGAAGUUUCCCAUCUCGCCUGACUUGGAUCUGGAUAGCGUCCAGGCAGGAAUGAAUGAAGAAGGUGACCUUUUGAUGGGAAGACACAGGGGCAAACCGUAGAAACUUUGCCCCCUUCCUCUUAAUAAAUACAUCUGUAAC